rnacentral:misc_RNA from 1 species
AGACAGGUGAGUCAUCGAAUCUUUGAACGCACAUUGCGCCCCUCGGUAUUCCGGGGGGCAUGCCUGUUCGAGCGUCAUUACACCCCUCAAGCGUAGCUUGGUAUUGGACUUUCGCGGGCCCUUUUACAAGGGCUCGCGGGUUCGAAAAACAGUGGCGGUCCCCGAGGAUUUCGCGCGUAGUAAAUUUUAUCCCGCGUUGGAAAGAAUCGAUGGGUCUGGCCAAAACCCCCUAAUCUCCAUAAAUUGACCUCGGAUCAGGUAGGGAUACCCGCUGAACUUAAGCAUAUCAAUAAGCGGAGG